CCCUCCUCCUCCCCCCGGUGCCCGGGGACACGCGGGCCCGGCUCCAGCCCGCAGCCCAGACCCCACGCGCUCCCGGCUCCCGCCCUAGCCCCGGGGGCUCGGCUCCAGCCGAAUAAUGUAUUCACUCGGCAACCUUCUGAGAUGUCUUCUCUCUUUUUAAAUUUGGUUUAGUUUUGUUGUUGUUGUGUGUGCGUGUGACUAAAAAAAAAAAAAAAAUCUGUGCGUUCCCACCCUCUGCAAAAGACUUUCUUCUCCUUUGCCACAGCAAACGGAGAUGAGAAACAGAUGUCUUUGCAGGACCGAGCAGUUACUCCCCCCUCGCCGCCCGCCCCCGCCCGGUCCCCUCCGGAGCUGCAGGAGUAUAAAAAAGCAACCUUGGUCUUGCUGCAACUUCAAUUGGCAACACUUUCUGGCUGGGGAGCCUCCAGGGAAAACCUCCAGGAAAUAAAAAAUGAUCCUCCGACUGUGAAAAACCAAACCCCUGGCUGCCAGGCUCCCCGGGAGUUCAGGAGAGGCACAGACUGAAAACCGGAGAGGAGAGGAGCAAGAGCAAGGAUGAGGAUUAGCAUCUGCAAAUUGAACUCUAUCUGAUUUGCAUGUUUAUUUCUUAGAAUUGUAAUUAAAUUUGUGUAAUAAAUGUUUUCCAUUUCAUUUGUACACUUAAAAUUUGGGCAACUGACAUGCAGUUAAGUGAAUUUCUUUUUUCUAAAAAAGAAAAGCAAAUGCAGUUUAUUCAAUAAAGCAGCAAACAAAUAUUAACUAUAA